rnacentral:lncRNA from 1 species
AUGGAGAAAGAAGUCACACAGCAAACAAAACGUCCUCACAUCCCAAACUCAAAGUACCGUGAUCAGGGGCAGACUGAGAAGGCUUCAAAGAAAAGGGUUGACAAUAAAAAGAGAUGUCCUUCUAAAUACAACCACGAGGAGGAGGAGGAGAAGGAGGAGGAGGAGGAUGAGGCGCGUCAUGACAGGCCUUCAAAGAACAAGCGGGCCAGCGAAGAGGAGGAGCGUAUUGGGGAUGAAGAGGACAUAGUACCACCCUCUAAGAAAAAGACAGCUGCUGAAUUUAGAAAACACCUGGAUGAACAGAUGUGGGAGAGAAGGAAACUUGACCAAAUGCAAAGAAAUUUGCAGGAGUUGAGAAAUGAAGUCCAUUCUCUUAAAAAUGAAAAUGCACGUCUGAAAGACAUUAUCAUCAAUCGUAAGUAUUCCUAA